rnacentral:rRNA from 1 species
GACGAACCGUGCGAACGUUAUUCGGAAUCACUGGGCUUAAAGCGCGUGUAGGCGGAUGGGGACGUCGGUCGUUGAAAGCCCCCGGCUCAACCGGGGAACGGGCGCCGAUACGACCGUCCUGGAGGGACGUAGGGGGACCUGGAACAUCCGGUGGAGCGGUGAAAUGCGUUGAGAUCGGAUGGAACGCCCGUGGCGAAAGCGAGGUCCUGGACGUUUUCUGACGCUGAGACGCGAAAGCGUGGGGAGCGAACAGG